AGGCGCUACGGUAAAACAUGGCGGAUACGAUGCGUAUCGAGUGUACGUAAUCCGGGCCCAGAUUUAAAUAUCCGACUUUGUCAGUCAGCUGUUUCUACUAGGCCAACAAUGGAUGGGUGAUACCUAUACCAUGAAAAAAUUCUUUUUGUGUUUGUGUAACGUGUAAUGUGGCCGUUUUUCUGUUUUUGCUGUUUGGGGUUGUACGGAGGAUAUCCAACCAAAAGUUAUUUUCACAAGAUGCAAAUGUUAACACCUCAAUUUUGUAGCGGUACUUUUUUAACAAUUGACCAUUAGCUCCGAUGAUGACAUUUAUGUCGAAAGCGCUCAGCUAAAGAAAUAAAUUAUUUACACACUUUGA